rnacentral:rRNA from 1 species
GAUGAACGCUAGCGGCAGGCCUAAUACAUGCAAGUCGAGGGGCAGCACGGGUAGCAAUAUCUGGUGGCGACCGGCGCACGGGUGCGUAACACGUAUACAAUCUGCCUUUUACAGGGGAAUAGCCCGGAGAAAUUCGGAUUAAUGCCCCAUAAUAGAUUGAUUGGCCCCAGUUGAUUUUGAAAGCUCCGGCGGUAAAAGAUGAGUAGGAGCAUGAUUAGCUAGUUGGUAGUGUAACGGACUACCAAGGCGACGAUCAUUAGGGGAUCUGAGAGGACUACCCCCCACACUGGUACUGAGACACGGACCAGACUCCUACGGGAGGCAGCAGUAAGGAAUAUUGGUCAAUGGAGGCAACUCUGAACCAGCCAUGCCGCGUGCAGGAUGAAUGCCCUAUGGGUAGUAAACUGCUUUUAUACGGGAGAAAACCCGAGUACGUGUACUCGGUUGAUAGUACUGUAAGAAUAAGGAUCGGCUAACUUCGUGCCAGCCGCCGCGGUAAAAC